rnacentral:rRNA from 1 species
UACGUAGGGGGCAAGCGUUGUCCGGAAUCAUUUGGGCGUAAAGAGCGUGUAGGCGGCCAGAAUAGUCUGGUGUGAAAUCUUUGGGGCUCAACCCCAAGCGGUCACUGGAUACUUUCUGGCUUGAAUCCGGAAGAGGAGAGUGGAAUUCCUGGUGUAGCGGUGGAAUGCGCAGAUAUCAGGAGGAACACCAACGGCGAAGGCAGCUCUCUGGUACGUGAUUGACGCUGAGACGCGAAAGCGUUGGGGAGCAAACAGG